AUGAGUGGCGAACGGGUGAGUAACACGUGAGUAACCUGCCCCUUCUUUGGGAUAACGCCCGGAAACGGGUGCUAAUACUGGAUAUUCACUGGCCUUCGCAUGGGGGUUGGUGGAAAGGUUUUUUCUGGUGGGGGAUGGGCUCGCGGCCUAUCAGCUUGUUGGUGGGGUGAUGGCCUACCAAGGCUUUGACGGGUAGCCGGCCUGAGAGGGUGACCGGUCACAUUGGGACUGAGAUACGGCCCAG
rnacentral:rRNA from 1 species